AUGGAGGUGACGUUCGAGACGACGCAGGGUCGCCGAUUCACCGUCGAGAUUUGGUACUUGUCCACCGUGCGGAGGAUCAAGGAGUACAUCCUGAAGCAGGAGGGCAUCCCCGUGGAGUCCCAGCGCCUCUUCUUCCAUGGCCAGGAGCUCGAGGACGACCGCGACACCCGGCACUACCCCAUCGUGGAGGGAUCCCACGUGCUCAUCGUCCUGCCGGAUGACUCCCCCACUGCCGCCGGCGCCGUCGUCCGCGUCGUCGCCUCCGGGCCGGCCCUCGGCCAGGGCCGGCGCAUCGCGCUCGACCUGGACGCGUCCUGCACCAUCGCCCGCCUGAAGGAGUUGCUCCAGGAGCGCACAGACGGGGCGGUGCCGGCCACAACGGUGAGCGUGUUCUUGGAGAAGGCGGAGAUGGAGGAUCACAAGGAGCUGGCGCAGUUCAACCCGCCGGCCGACGGGAUGGAGAUGGAGGUGCGCGUGGUCGUGCGCCAGCCGCCGCCGCCGCCAGUGUGCAACGACGGGAACGGGGUGGCCAAGGUUAACAAGCCGCAGCAGCGGAUGUCUGUGGAGGUGAAGUGGGGCGCCAAGGCCGUGACGUUGGAGGUGAGCGACAUGGACGCCGUCAAGGAGCUGCGGGCGGAGCUGGGCAGCGCGGCGCCGCACCUCCUCCUGCCGGACGACGGCGCCUACUUCUUCAUCUACAAGCAGAAUGUCAUGGAGGAGGAGCGCACGCUGCGCUGGCACGACGUCAAGAGCGGCGACACCAUCGAGAUCUUCAACGGCAGGGUCACCGGAGGCGCUUGA
rnacentral:rRNA from 1 species